UCUACCUCUGUCCAAUCUGACAAGUACGGAAAUGGAAAGGAAAGGCAGAGAGUAAGGGUAAGGUACCACAGUUUCCAUGCCUAACAUUUAACAGUCAGUGAUGGGAAUGUGAUUUUACCAUGGAUCAAAGAGGCGCAAUGGAAGGCAGCCAGGCUUGAGCCUGGCUCGUCAGUAUCUCACCCAAGAGAACUGACUGCCAAGAAAGUGGACCCUGGUAACAAAACACAGAGAAUGAAUCACCAAGGCUGGGAGCAGAUGGUGGAGAUUGUGAAGUGGGAGGUUCCCUAUGGGGUUUCUGGAAAAUUCACAUAAGCACCAAUGAGGAAGCGAGUAUUUGGAUGUCUGCCACAGAGAAGGCACCAACGGCCAACCAGCACUGGCCAGAGAGACCUCAAACCAGGGACAGGUCAUUGUCCCUGACUUUUAUUGUGAUUUGAUCAAUGUCUCAAAUACAUUGGCUUCUGAUGUCCUGGAGGAAAUUAAGAGAAAAGGUCCACAACCACUCUGAGAGCAAAGUAACGCAGCAGAGGGCGGCAGCUGAGGACAGCAACGGGGGAACAGCCUGGCCAGGUGUGACAUCUCACAACAGCUGAUUAUAGAAGUAUGCGUACGUGAGGGACAGGUUCUUGAAUGCACGUGACAGGGUUCCCUGGGAGAGUUCAAGAUUCCUACGCAUAGCAGAAGGCGCUGAGAGUGGGGGAUUGAGGGCUGCCAAAUUAUGUCAAUAAAACUAGUGUGAGUCAAGCCAUUAUCAUUUUAGUGACACUAUAAUUAGUUAUUCAACAAUGGAACAAGCUCUUUGUCACUACAAGCGUUUAAAGUAUAAAUGUUUUCUUUUUAUUUAACAUGUAUUUAUUUUGUACUUAUUGUAUGUCAAGCAUUCUGCUAAUAAGUGCUCAGACAAACCCUAUUAAAAAUCUGGUGUUAUAGAUGAAGGAUUUGAGGCUUGCCAACUGAAGUAAGUUCCCUAGGAAUUUAUCACUAACACAUAGUAGGGACUCCAAAGGUGAGUGCAGACCUCCCUGGCUUAUAAAUGUUGGCCUUCUGAGUUUUUCCACCUUCACGAUGAUGUUUAAUGAUGUAUUUGUUAAUGUGAGUAAACAUACCCCAAUCUGGUUUUCACUUUCACUACAGUAUUCGGUAAAUUACAUGAGACAUUCAACACCAGUAUAAAAGUGGCUUUGUUAGUUGAUUUUGCCCAAUUGUAGACUAAUGUUCACUGUUCUGAGCAUGUUUAAGGUAGGCUAGGCUAAGCUAUGAUGUUCAGUAGGUUAGGUGUUCUAAAUGUAUUUUUGACUUAGAAUAUUUUCAAUUUAUUAUAACUAUACUGGGAAAACCACAUUGUAAGUUAAAGUGCAUUUGUGCCCUAGAGCAUGCUAGUCUAGCAGGGCAGCAAUGACACAAUUACAGAUGAUGACUCAUCGAUGCAGGUGUGCAUGAACUGUUGCAGAGGCACGUGAAUUAGUGUCAUGGGAGGGGAAGAAUGGAAUGGAGGGAGUGGUCCGGGAAGGUGCUAUAGGGUGUGCCUCUAAGGCUGAGUUAUAUAUGAUGGAAAGGAGUUAAAGAAGGAGGGAGUGCUCUGGGGGUGAGUGACCAGCGCUGACAUUGCAGACAAGAGGGCCAGCGGUGAUACUUAUGGAGAUAGCUCAGUAAACAUUCACUGAGUAGUUGAAUGCCAGCAUGGGCCAAGUCCCCCAGUCAGGAUACCACAUAGCUUUGGAGACAACAGGAGGUUAGGGAGACCCUGAACCUGUUGGCAUGGAGGACCAGGGGCAAGAUGGGCAAUGCUAGUGACUGCAGACAUCAAAAGGCCAAGAGCCAGGUGGUAAAAAAGCAGCUGUGGGUGUGGCAGAAAUGUUUGGAGAUUGUUUUCUGAGAGCAUAGCUUGUAUUCUAAGGUUUCUGAAGUGGAGCACUUCCAGAUGAUAAAAUUCACGCCUGGGUGGGAGUCUUGACCGAAAGAAACAGGGCUGAGGGUCAUCGGCAUUAGAAGAACGCUCCAACAUUUUGAGGCUAAGUAGACUUUUUAUAACUCUGAGAAUCUACAGUUCUAUUAAUUACUUGACUUUUCCCGAAAUGAAUGGGUUGGUUAAGUGCUGUAGCACACAGAAGUUGGCUGUCUCAUUAAAAGUUGCUGUUUUACUCAGCUUUUUGCAAAUGCACUGCCAGGGUGUUACGAUCAAAACCUGUGAUGUUUGUAAUAGCACCAAAUAAACAUUUGGGGUUUGUGAUGUA